AGCGGACAGAUGGGAGCUUGCUCCCUGAUGUUAGCGGCGGACGGGUGAGUAACACGUGGGUAACCUGCCUGUAAGACUGGGAUAACUCCGGGAAACCGGGGCUAAUACCGGAUGGUUGUUUGAACCGCAUGGUUCAAACAUAAAAGGUGGCUUCGGCUACCACUUACAGAUGGACCCGCGGCGCAUUAGCUAGUUGGUGAGGUAACGGCUCACCAAGGCAACGAUGCGUAGCCGACCUGAGAGGGUGAUCGGCCACACUGGGACUGAGACACGGCCCAGACUCCUACGGGAGGCAGCAGUAGGGAAUCUUCCGCAAUGGACGAAAGUCUGACGGAGCAACGCCGCGUGAGUGAUGAAGGUUUUCGGAUCGUAAAGCUCUGUUGUUAGGGAAGAACAAGUACCGUUCGAAUAGGGCGGUACCUUGACGGUACCUAACCAGAAAGCCACGGCUAACUACGUGCCAGCAGCCGCGGUAAUACGUAGGUGGCAAGCGUUGUCCGGAAUUAUUGGGCGUAAAGGGCUCGCAGGCGGUUUCUUAAGUCUGAUGUGAAAGCCCCCGGCUCAACCGGGGAGGGUCAUUGGAAACUGGGGAACUUGAGUGCAGAAGAGGAGAGUGGAAUUCCACGUGUAGCGGUGAAAUGCGUAGAGAUGUGGAGGAACACCAGUGGCGAAGGCGACUCUCUGGUCUGUAACUGACGCUGAGGAGCGAAAGCGUGGGGAGCGAACAGGAUU
rnacentral:rRNA from 1 species